AGAGUGAACGCUGGCGGCGUGGCUUAGGCAUGCAAGUCGAACGCGAAAGGCGCAAGCCGAGUAGAGUGGCGAAAGGGUGAGUAAUGCAUAGACAACCUACCCUCAGGACCGGAAUAACCGCUGGAAACGGCGGCUAAUGCCGGAUGGUCUGGUCGGGCGGCAUCGCCUGUCCAGUAAAUGGUUGCUUCCGGGCUUCUGCCCGAGGAGGGGUCUAUGUCCUAUUAGCUAGUUGGUGAGGUAACGGCUCACCAAGGCGACGAUGGGUAGCCGGACUGAGAGGUUGGCCGGCCACACUGGGACUGAGACACUGCCCAGACUCCUACGGGAGGCUGCAGUCGAGAAUCUUCUGCAAUGGACGCAAGUCUGACAGGGCGACGCCGCGUGCAGGAUGAAGGCCUUCGGGUUGUAAACUGCUGUUGCACCUUACGAACCCCCGGGAGUUAAUAGCUCUCCGGGAUGACCAGGGUGUGAGGAAGCACAGGCUAACUCCGUGCCAGCAGCCGCGGUAAUACGGAGUGUGCAAGCGUUACUCGGAAUCACUGGGCAUAAAGGGCGCGUAGGCGGGCUUUCAAGUCGGUUGUGAAAUCCCUCAGCUCAACUGAGGAACUGCAGCCGAUACUGUUUGUCUUGAGGACGAGAGGGGAGAGUGGAACUUCUGGUGGAGCGGUGAAAUGCGUAGAUAUCAGAAGGAACGCCGGUGGCGAAAGCGACUCUCUGGCUCGUAACUGACGCUGAGGCGCGAAAGCUUGGGUAGCAAACGGGAUUAGAUACCCCGGUAGUCCAAGCCGUAAACGAUGAACACUAGGGAGGGGAGACCCCGAUGUCUUCCCUCCUGGAGCAAAUGUAUUAAGUGUCC
rnacentral:rRNA from 1 species